rnacentral:rRNA from 1 species
UGCCUUACACAUGCAAGUCGAACGGCAGCAUGAUCUAGCUUGCUAGAUUGAUGGCGAGUGGCGAACGGGUGAGUAAUACAUCGGAACGUGCCCUGUAGUGGGGGAUAACUAGUCGAAAGAUUAGCUAAUACCGCAUACGACCUGAGGGUGAAAGUGGGGGACCGCAAGGCCUCAUGCUAUAGGAGCGGCCGAUGUCUGAUUAGCUAGUUGGUGGGGUAAAGGCCCACCAAGGCGACGAUCAGUAGCUGGUCUGAGAGGACGAUCAGCCACACUGGGACUGAGACACGGCCCAGACUCCUACGGGAGGCAGCAGUGGGGAAUUUUGGACAAUGGGCGAAAGCCUGAUCCAGCAAUGCCGCGUGUGUGAAGAAGGCCUUCGGGUUGUAAAGCACUUUUGUCCGGAAAGAAAUGGCUCUGGUUAAUACCUGGGGUCGAUGACGGUACCGGAAGAAUAAGGACCGGCUAACUACGUGCCAGCAGCCGCGGUAAUACGUAGGGUCCAAGCGUUAAUCGGAAUUACUGGGCGU